rnacentral:rRNA from 1 species
GGACGAACGCUGGCGGCGUGCCUAAUACAUGCAAGUCGAACGGUCUUUCUAUGGAAGCUUGCUUCCACUGAGAAGAUAGUGGCGAACGGGUGAGUAACACGUGGGUAACCUGCCCAUAAGAGGGGGAUAACAUCCGGAAACGGGUGCUAAUACCGCAUAGUUUUCUUGAUCGCAUGAUCGGGAAAGGAAAGACGGCCUUUGUGCUGUCGCUUAUGGAUGGACCCGCGGCGUAUUAGUUAGUUGGUGAGGUAACGGCUCACCAAGACGAUGAUACGUAGCCGACCUGAGAGGGUGAUCGGCCACAUUGGGACUGAGACACGGCCCAAACUCCUACGGGAGGCAGCAGUAGGGAAUCUUCCGCAAUGGACGAAAGUCUGACGGAGCAACGCCGCGUGAGUGAAGAAAGGUUUUCGGAUCGUAAAACUCUGUUGUCAGAGAAGAACAAGUUGGAGAGUAACUGCUCCAGCCUUGACGGUAUCUGACCAGAAAGCCACGGCUAACUACGUGCCAGCCGCUGC